rnacentral:lncRNA from 1 species
AGACAGUGCUGAUGGCAUGGCCUUUACUCCCUACUAAGGAGUAUGUCUCCCUGAACUGACAAGAAGCUGAGGUGCCCUUCAGCUCAGUUUCAAGUGAGCAUCUCCUGGACCAGGGGAAGCCAUUGAGCACUUCCUCCUUCCAAAGCCAGAGAUUUCCUCUUGGCUUAAUUGGGAACAUCUUAGCUCUUCCAGAGUGGGGAACUGAGUGUUUAUUUUCAAACCCUGACCAGAAAUAUCUCGUUCCUCUCUCAAACUACCCCCAUUUGUCAAUAUCAGCAAUAGUCCUGAGAAGUGACACUAGGAUGGAUGUGGAGGAGGGAAGAUCACCCACCUCAUCAUGUACAGGUGCUUUAAAACACAUCCAGGAACAGCCUGCAGGGCUGGCUGCAAACUGGGAUGUGGAUUAGCGGGAACAAGUAUAGGAGCCAUGUGCUCAGCCUUUGAAAUUGCUCCAAGACAUCUUCCAAGAUAGAGAAGGAAGCCAUCAGAGUGCUGGCUACACUUUGAUGAACUGUUGGCAGAGGAAACUGAAAGAGUGGUCCCAUCGGGAGAAAAGGCCCUAGACUGAAUGUGGUGGUCUCCUCUCUGCACCAAAGAUACCAAAGCAGGACUGGUGACAGGCCUUUGUGACUUACACAGAGAGCAAUGCAACACGAUUGCGGGUGGUAAGAAGACAAUAGAUGUAGAUAUACUUGAGUUGACAGAGUGACUGCCUGGCAUAUAUGAAGCCCAGAGCUGACUAGAGCUGUCCUUGCUGCCCUUGGCAGUCCCUCUUGUAAUACUAGCUCGGGUGAAGAGGAAGCAGGAUGAUCUAAGCUCAAGGUGAACCUGCAAAGCCCGGCUGAGGACACCUUGGGAUCCAUGAGAACCUGUCUCAGUAAUACAAAACCGAAGUACACUACCCCAAAGCCUCACCUGCCAAACCUUUUGCGUUGAGAAGAACUUGGGGGAAAGAAUUGGGAACUCAGAGGGGAUAAGGAAUCCACAAAAAGACCAACAGAGUCAAAUAACCUAAAACCUUGGGGGCCCCAGGGACUGAAUCUUCAACCAAGCAGCAAAUAUGGACUGGAUCUAGGUCCCUUCCUGCACCCCAACACAAAGGUAGCAGCUGUGCAGCUUGGUCUUCAUGUGGGAAGCCCCAGCAGCUAGAGUGGGGGAUUAUUCUGACUCUGCUGCCUAUGUGUGGAUCCUUUUGUCCUGCUUGGCCUGCUUUGUGUGGCCUCAGUGAGAGAGGAUGUGCCUAGUCCUGCAGUUACUUGAGGUGCCAGGUAAGCUGGUACACAGCAAGGAUUUCCCUCUACUCAAUGACAAAGCAGGGCAGAGGUCUGUGAUUGUGAUAUAAUGUGAUUAAAUAAAUUUGGAAAAAGUCAAAAG